rnacentral:piRNA from 1 species
UCUGAUUCGUCACUUUGUCUGCCUCUCAAU